UGUUCUAACUGAUCUUUUAAUUCAAAUCCAAAUAAGACAAACAUGUGAAAUGAUGACUUAUAGUCAGAUCUCCUGGUAGAAAAACUGCGAUGGAAUUUUUAUGAGAAUGGAUCUUUCCUUGACAGAUUUCCAGAGCUUCAUGUUUUUUUCAUCCAGGUUGAAAAUAAUUCAUCUUCUUAUUCAACAUUGUUGCAUCUGGUCCUGGCUUAAGAAUUAGGUGAAAAAGUGCGCAAUAACAGAUGGUGCGCAAUAACAACAAUAAUUUGAAGAUUUAUUUAUUUCCAACUUCUGAUUGUGAUGCAGGUUUCUGUGGCUUGCCCCACCGGCAGCUCUGACAGCUGUUGCAAAAUAGGAAGAUUCAGUCUCUUUCACCAUUAUUUCACCCCAGUAUACAUGGGACCCUGGGACCACGUGUGGAGGUAG
rnacentral:lncRNA from 1 species